rnacentral:rRNA from 1 species
AUUGCCCCAGUAACGGCGAGUGAAGCGGCAAUAGCUCAAAUUUGAAAUCUGGCUCUUUCAGGGUCCGAGUUGUAAUUUGCAGAGGGCGCUUUGGCGUCGGCAGCAGCCUAAGUUCCUUGGAACAGGUCAUCAUAGAGGGUGAGAAUCCCGUAUGUGGCUGCUUGUCUUCGCCGUGUAAAGCCCCUUCGAUGAGUCGAGUUGUUUGGGAAUGCAGCUCUAAAUGGGAGGUAAAUUUCUUCUAAAGCUAAAUAUUGGCCAGAGACCGAUAGCGCACAAGUAGAGUGAUCGAAAGAUGAAAAGCACUUUGGAAAGAGAGUCAAAAAGCACGUGAAAUUGUUGAAAGGGAAGCGCUUGCAGCCAGACGUGCCCGUAGUUGCUCAUCGGGGGUUCUCCCCCGUGUACUCUUCUAUGGGCAGGCCAGCAUCAGUCCGGGCGGUUGGAGAAAGACCUGUGUCAUGUAGCUGUUUUCGGGCAGUGUUAUAGGGCAGGUGGAAUGCAACCAGCCUGGACUGAGGUCCGCGCAUCUGCUAGGAUGCUGGCGUAAUGGCUGUAAGCGGCCCGUCUUGAAACACGGACCAAGGAGUCUAACAUCUAUGCGAGUGUUUGGGUGUCAAGCCCGAGCGCGUAAUGAAAGUGAACGGAGGUGGGAACCUUUUAGGUGCACCAUCGACCGAUCCUGAUGUCUUCGGAUGGAUUUGAGUAAGAGCAUAGCUGUUGGGACCCGAAAGAUGGUGAACUAUGCCUGAAUAGGGUGAAGCCAGAGGAAACUCUGGUGGAAGCUCGCAGCGGUUCUGACGUGCAAAUCGAUCGUCAAAUUUGGGCAUAGGGGCCGAAAGACUAAUCGAACUAUCUAGUAGCUGGUUCCUGCCGAA